rnacentral:rRNA from 1 species
GUCUUUUAGAAUAUAAUUUAAAGUCUAACCUGCCCACUGAAUUUAUUUGAAGGGCCGCGGUAUUUUGACUGUGCAAAGGUAGCAUAAUCAUUAGUCUUUUAAUUGGAGGCUUGUAUGAAUGGUUGGAUGAAACAUUAACUGUCUCAAUUUAAUAAAAAUAGAAUUUAAUUUUUAAGUUAAAAAGCUUAAAUUAAAUUAGAGGACGAGAAGACCCUAUAGAUCUUUAUAAUUAAUUAUUUAUUAUUAAUUUAGUAAAUUAAUUUUUAUUAAUUAGUUAAUUAUUUUAUUGGGGUGAUAAAUAAAUUUAGUAAACUUUAUUUUAUAUAAACAUUUAUGUAUGAAUAUUUGAUCCAUUAUUAAUGAUUAAAAGAUUAAGUUACCUUAGGGAUAACAGCGUAAUUUUUUUAGAGAGUUCUAAUCGAUAAAAAAGUUUGCGACCUCGAUGUUGAAUUAAAGGUUAAUUUUAGGUGCAGAAGUUUAAAGUUUUGGUCUGUUCGACCAUUAAAUC